AGCAGCCGCGGUAAUUCCAGCUCCAAUAGCGUAUAUUAAAGUUGUUGCAGUUAAAAAGCUCGUAGUUGAAUUUCGGGGUCAGUAGGUCGGUCGUGCCACUGGUAUGAACUGGUUUCACUGAUUCCUCCCUCUUGUAGAACCGUGAUGCCAUUAAUUUGGUGUUGCGGGGAAACAGGACUGUUACUUUGAAAAAAUUAGAGUGUUUAAAGCAAGCUAACGCUUGAAUACAUUAGCAUGGAAUAAUGAAAUAGGAGGUCUGUCUUAUUUUGUUGGUUUCUAGGAUAGACGUAAUGAUUAAUAGGGAUAGUUGGGGGCAUUAGUAUUCAAUUGUCAGAGGUGAAAUUCUUGGAUUUAUUGAAGACUAACUACUGCGAAAGCAUUUGCCAAGGAUGUUUUCAUUAAUCAAGAACGAAAGUUAGGGGAUCGAAGACGAUCAGAUACCGUCGUAGUCUUAACCAUAAACUAUGCCGACUAGGGAUCGGAUGAUGUUAAUUUUUAAUGACUCAUUCGGCGCCUUACG
rnacentral:rRNA from 1 species